UCCAAUCAAAGCCUAUGGCAUUUAUUUAGUGGAUUAAAUAAAGCAGUUCUGUUUGUGAUUGUCUUUAGUGUUUCUCUGACAUGUAUCUCGUAAACUUCGUCUUCUUCCCCCAUUCUUACACCUUUUUUCUCUUCAAUGCAAUGAAGUCUUGCUUUGAUAGUUUCAGCGGAGAUACUACUGCAUUCAUCAUUAGUACCAGUUUUGAGACAUCUUUUAACAGUAAUUUCCAUGAGCAAUGUUUGAAUAGCAAAUUCUGUGUUUUAAAGAGGUCUUGGCACACUCAAGAAAAAGCCUAAAUAUUCUUGUGCCUCAUGCUGGGGAUCUGAAAGUUUACUUAUGUACCACCUACUUUUUCUUUGCUGGCAGCUCUUGCAGUGGUAUUUCCAAUUCCACAUGCUUUUAUAUUUUUCUCCGCUCUUGUUCUAUUUGGUAUUUUUAAUAAUAUUUGGUUAAAUUAUGUUUAAUUAUCAAUUGGCAACUUUUAAUCAGGUUUUUAGUUACUAGUUGGAGCGAAGUGUUGACAGCUUAUCAUGAUAAAUUCUACUUUGUAUUCUGUAGGUAUCAGGAUUGCUGUUCAACUUCUGAAGGGGCUGUGGUUAUGUUAAGUAAUAAGCUAUAUGCUCUGUUAAGGGAAAUUCAGUAUAUUUGAUAAAUGUGAUAGAUGUAUAUGACCACUUUUAAAAGUAAAACAAAACAUAAGGAAAUUGACUUAAAGUAUCUCCUCUGCACUGUUACAAUUUAUGUGAAGUCUCUAAGUGAAAAAAUAGGUAGAAAACACAAGAUUCAUAUGUAAACUUAAACAUCUUAGUGUUGAAGUUUUCAAAGUUAUAAAAUUGUAUUGUUGUUCUUGCUGAAGGCUAUUUACACGCACAGUAGGAAAGGUAGGAUUUUGUGAUCUUAUUUGCACAUAUUUGGAAGUCUGACUUUACUAUAUCAGCAGUUUUUGUGUGUGAAGAAAAGUCAUUAUUGGAGGCAUAAAUUGGUAACCAACUGUUACUUUUAAAUGUUCAAAGCCCUCAUUGUACUGUUUGAUUCUGACCUGCUGUAGGAAAUUUUCAAGUUAGGUCUGUGUUCUAUUGCUGAUUUGAAUGUGAAAUUCUCUUGGUUCAUUGGAGGAACAAAACCAAACAAAACACUGCAGGGGAGGCAGCACUGUGUUAGAAAUGCGAACCAAAACCAUGGUAUCAAAGAGUACUGCUGUCAGAUUUUUACAGCUGUUCUGAACUGUGGCUGUGAGCACAAUUUCAUUUGUAUGUCAGAAAUACUAUGCUGCAAAUAAUCAGCGCUUCCCUCCAUAGAGGUUGCCUUAUAUACCAGCGCUAAGAACUGUAUGCCGGACAUUGCUGCCAUUAAGCUAGGUGAUUCAGACUUACGUGUUAACUAUUGUGCUGUGCUAUAGCUAGCUCCUAAAGGUAUGUUUAAAAAGGAUUACUGUGAGCUGUGUCGUAGCUCCUUAACAUUUGGCAGUAGCAACCCCAACUCUUCUGCAUUUUUGCCAAGUAGUUUUAUUGUGAGUGGAAACAUUACUUCAUUCUUUCCCAUUCUUGCUCCUGGUUUCUACAGUCACUUUGAUUCUGUGAUUAUGGGAACAUUGUUUUUAAUGUAAGCACUUGUAAUGCAAAAUCCUACAGCUGUUACAUUAAUGGAAGUUUUAUUUCGUUUCGUUUCUUUUCUUUUCCUUUUUUUUUUCUUUUUU